GUGCCAGCCGCCGCGGUAAUACGUAGGGGGCAAGCGUUGUCCGGAUUUAUUGGGCGUAAAGAGCUCGUAGGCGGUUUGGUAAGUCGGAUGUGAAAUCUCCACGCUCAACGUGGAGGGGCCAUACGAGACUGCCAUGACUAGAGUCCGGUAGAGGAAUGUGGAAUUCCCGGUGUAGCGGUGAAAUGCGCAGAGAUCGGGAGGAACACCCGUAGCGAAGGCGGCAUUCUGGGCCGGUACUGACGCUGAGGAGCGAAAGCGUGGGGAGCAAACAGGAUUAGAAACCCUCGUAGUCC
rnacentral:rRNA from 1 species